rnacentral:misc_RNA from 1 species
UUUCCGUAGGUGAACCUGCGGAAGGAUCAUUCAUAAUAAGUGUUUUAUGGCACUUUUUUAAAUCCAUAUCCACCUUGUGUGCAAUGUCAGGGUUGAUUUUUCUCUCGAGAGGAUCAACCCCAAACAUCAACUAUAUCUCAACUCUUUGUCUGAAAAAUAUUAUGAGUAAAACAAUUCGAAAUACAACUUUCAACAACGGAUCUCUUGGCUCUC